UCGGACGUGGUGCAUGGUGCACACCGGCUUUCGAUGAAGGAUCAUACUAAUCGCAAUCAAGCGGGGAGUCUGGGUUCGAUUCCCGGCGUCCGGG